UACAGGGGGGGCAAGCGUUGUUCGGAAUUACUGGGCGUAAAGGGCUCGUAGGCGGCCAACUAAGUCACACGUGAAAUCCCCAGGCUUAACCUGGGAACUGCGUGUGAUACUGGAUGGCUUGAAUCCGGGAGAGGGAUGCGGAAUUCCAGGUGUAGCGGUGAAAUGCGUAGAUAUCUGGAGGAAUACCGGUGGCGAAGGCGGCAUCCUGGACCGACAUUGACGCUGAGGAGCGAAAGCUAGGGGAGCAAACGGG
rnacentral:rRNA from 1 species